rnacentral:rRNA from 1 species
UACGGGAGGCAGCAGUGGGGAAUAUUGCACAAUGGGCGCAAGCCUGAUGCAGCCAUGCCGCGUGUGUGAAGAAGGCUUCGGGUUGUAAAGCACUUUCAGCGGGGAGGAAGGAGAUAAGGUUAAUAACCUUGUCGAUUGACGUUACCCGCAGAAGAAGCAGCCGGCUAACUCCGUGCCAGCAGCCGCGGUAAUACGGAGGGUGCAAGCGUUAAUCGGAAUUACUGGGCGUAAAGCGCACGAGGCGGUCUGUCAAGUCGGAUGAGAAAUCCCCGGGCUCAACCUGGGAACUGCAUUCGAAACUGGCAGGAUAGAGUCUUGUAGAGGGGGGUAGAAUUCCAGGUGUAGCGGUGAAAUGCGUAGAGAUCUGGAGGAAUACCGGUGGCGAAGGCGGCCCCAUGGACAAAGACUGACGCCCAGGUGCGAAAGGUGGGGAGCAAACAGGAUUAGAUACCCUGGUAGUCCACGCCGUAAACGAUGUCGAUUUGGAGGUUGUGCCCUUGAGGCGUGGCUUCCGGAGCUAACGCGUUAAAUCGACCGCCUGGGGAGUACGGCCGCAAGUUAAAACUCAAAUGAAUUGACGGGGGCCCGCACAAGCGUGGAGCAUGUGGUUUAAUUCGAUGCAACGCGAAGAACCUUACCU